AUACGUAGGGGGCGAGCGUUGUCCGGAAUGAUUGGGCGUAAAGGGCGCGUAGGCGGCCCGGUAAGUCUGAAGUGAAAGUCCUGCUUUUAAGGGGGGAAUUGCUUUGGAUACUGUCGGGCUUGAGUGCAGGAGAGGUAAGUGGAAUUCCCAGUGUAGCGGUGAAAUGCGUAGAGCUUGGGAGGAACACCAGUGGCGAAGGCGACUUACUGGACUGUAACUGACGCUGAGGCGCGAAAGUGUGGGGAGCAAACAGGAUUAGAUACCCUGGUAGUCCACACUGUAAACGAUGAAUGCUAGGUGUAGGGGGUAUCGACCCCUUCUGUGCCGCAGUUAACACAAUAAGCAUUCCGCCUGGGGAGUACGACCGCAAGGUUGAAACUCAAAGGAAUUGACGGGG
rnacentral:rRNA from 1 species